UAGGGAAUAUUAGAAAUGGACGAAAGUCUGACCUAGCAACACCGCGUGUGCGAAGAGGCCUUCGGGUCGUAAAGCACUUUUUGGAAGGAAUAGGAAGGAAUGUACUUCCAGAAUAAGUCUCGGCUAACUACGUGCCAGCAGCCGCGGUAACACGUAGGAGGCGAACGUUAUCCGGAUUUACUGGGCGUAAAGCGCGUGUAGGUGGUUCUGGAAGUAGGGCGUGAAAGCUCCUGGCUCAACUGGGAGAGGCCGUUCUAAACUACAGAACUAGAGGAUGGUAGAGGGAGGUUGAAAUCCAGGUGUAGCGGUGGAAUGCGCAGAUAUCUGGAGGAACACCAGUGGCGAAGGCGGCCUCCUGGACCAUUCCUGACACUCAGACGCGAAAGCUAGGGUAGCAAACG
rnacentral:rRNA from 1 species